GGGGACGUAGCCAAGCGGUAAGGCAAGGGACUUUGACUCCCUCAUGCGCUGGUUCGAGUCCAGCCGUCCCUGCCA
rnacentral:tRNA from 2 species